rnacentral:sRNA from 1 species
CUCCCUCGCACACAGCGACUGGAGACGGACGGAGAGCAACGCGCUGGGAGAGGAGAGACCACCGACAACAUCCCCGCGCUCUCACACAUACACUCACACUCGACUCUUUCCUCUCCCCCACCUCCUCCUCCUUCCACCCCCACCACUAACACCAUCUCCUCCUCCUUCUCUCUGCAACAAGAAAAAAAAGCCAUUUACAGGGGGUGAUGUGCAACUAAUUAAAGGCAGACUGGCAGCGUCUGCAAAUUCUAAGGCUCCCCAAAUAAAAAGAGACUGAGAACACCUGUUCCCAGCGCUGAAGCAUUCCGAUGGUUCUUUUAAAGCAGUAGUAUAUCUUAUUUUCAAGGCAUUUGGAAAUGAAGGGCAAACUAAUGUCUUGUUUUAAGAAACUGCUUAGUCCACCACUGAAGAAAAUAUCCAGAAAUUAUUUUCAUUUUACGUAUAGGGGUUUCUUCAAAAAAAAAAAAAAAAAAAAAAGAGGAAAAGAAAAGAAAAAAGACAAAAAUAAUGUGGGAGCUUGGAGAAUUGGCCAGUCUAUUUACUUUCAAUAUGCUGAUUCUUUCUUUGAUGUAAUUUAGCUAUAGUAGUGAAGUUGUUGUCUAUUUUGAAAGUGGCUGUAAAAAAUAAGUUUGGGUAAACCCCUGCUGUAAAAUCAUGUAUCUUUGCAAAGUACAUAUCUAUACUUCAUUUUCAAAUAUAUGUGUUUCAGUACUGUAAACUGUACAGAUAGCAGCUUGUAUUUUGUGUGUUUAGACACAAGGAGACAAUCAUGUCUGAGCAUCUAUGGAGAUUAACAGUUUGUACACAACAGUAUGGUUCUGCAAGUUAAAUCUGGAGCAAUAAAUUUUAGCUUUAACUAUUUUUUGCCAGUGGUUUAGAAGCAGCAACAGCACUGGCACCAUUUUGCCAUGCAUCUUUCCAUAGAGACUUGAUGCCAAGUUUUACAAGACUAAAAGAUUAUGAUGCAUCCACCAAUUACCUUCUGUUUUAUUGUUAUAAGAGGGGAAGAUGUUAUGAAAGUUUCAAUUAAUCUUUUGAGCACUAUAUUAGAGUAGUGGUUAUGCACUUGCAUUGCUUACAAACGAGCUGUACAGAAGGGUAUACCUCCCAAAUACUUAGUGUAGUUGACUUGUCUUGGGUUGCACUGUAAGGCGGAGUACUCACAGUAGUUGGAAAAUGCAGCAUCAGUUGUAUAAUUUUUUUUAUAAAAACAGUGUUUUUUAGGCUAAAGAAUAAAGUAUCAUAUCUUAGGAGGGGAAACUUUAUAACUGACUUUUCUCCCCAGCCCAACAUGGGCUGUGUACGUUUUAUUGUUUCUUAAUUUUUUUCUUAUUUUUUCUGUAGGAAAAAAUCUUAAUAAAAACUACCCCAAUGUUUUAACUUCAUGUAUGAUAUUAAAUGGGUAGUUUUAACACUUGAAUAUGUUGAGGGCUUCUGCCUUGAGGCAGGGCUUGAUAUAUUUUUAAUUUACAAAGAAUUAAACAUAUUCAUAAAAGUGAGGCAUUUUAUCUCUUUUUAUUUUCUUUUCUCAUAGCCACCCAGUUGGACUAGUGGUCUUCCCCUGGUCCUUCAGUAAAAUGCUCCAUUGCUGCCAUUUCCAUUCUUGUCACUUGAUGCUUUCGUUCCUGAGAAGGCAGGGCCGCAGUCUCUGGAAUUUCAUAAAUGCAUGACAUACCCCUCCCCCCACAACCUACACACAAAGGAUCUAACGCUUCAUAGAACCUGUGCUACCUUUUCAUGUUGGAGUUGGUUUUCUUAUCACAGUCAGGGUUCUUAAGGCCAUCCCAUCAGGACAAAUAUUUACAUUUCAUUUUAUUUUUGUUUGUCCCAAUUAUAAAGACUACUUUCAGUUUCAGGAGUAGAACAGGGUUUAGCAAAAAUAUGUAGAGUAUCAAAGUUACCUACUGCAACUUUUUGUUCUUUGUCCACUAGCCAGUUGAUUUAACCCACUAAAUCCGUUAGCUUGCUGAAAAAUGUUAGCAAAGUAAAUCACGAGAAGAAAGAUAAUUUGAGAAGAGAAAGGGUAUGGUACAAUGAAAGAAGCUGUAAAGAUUAGGAAAGACUAGUAAGUGAAUAUUUUUAAAAAUUUAGUUGUAGAUUUCAACGGGAUACGAUAGGACAGAAAAGAUUUUUUUUAAAAGCAGAAAGAGUUUCAUGGUGAAAGUACUGGGGGAGGGUGGACAAAGCAUGCACACAUGCCAAUUUGAAAAUCAAGUGUGACUUACCUCAUGUAGAGUAUGAAUACAUGGUCCACAGUUAUGGUCAACAAGCAUUUUCAAGAAAAACUCAUGAUGUAUUACACCCAUCCAUAUUUAGAGAUGAGAAUUAAAUGAUUACAAGCUAAAAUGUGCUGUAUACUGUAUUAAUUUUGGGAUAGCUUUCUACUUGAUGUAUAUUUCUUUGAGGGUUUCUAUCUAGUUAGAAUUUCAGCUUCUGCUGUGGGACCAAUGAGAGCUGUAUGAGUUUUUUUUUUUUUUCUUUUUCCAUUAUUUUAUUUUUUGUCUUUUUAUUUACCAAUUUGCUAAUUAAUUACAAGUAAGUGAAAACUUACUUUCACACUUGAAUGAUAAGCUUGCCUUGCUCUUUGGAAAAUGAUGAUUGUUAUUACAGAAGUGAAACAAACUUCUAUUCAGGCUAUAUUAGGCAUACAAUAACAUAAAGAUCUCAUAGAAGUAUACUGAGAGUCUAAAAUACAUUCUAGUAGUGCAUGUCUUGGUGUGCUUUUGUUUGUUUGCUUUCUAAAAUAACUAAUGAAUCUGUAUAUUGUAAACUGUGGUGUUUUACAUGUCAAUUCAUUUUUUUAAUGAAAGAAAAUUUGUUGCUUACUGAAAUGAGAAAGUUUAGCUUUUCAUUAAUUCUCUUAUGUUUUUUAUUCUUGAUAUUGUUCUUUUAUACCACCCACUUUUUAAUGUUUUUGGUUAAACUCCAUUUAUAUAAUGUAGGGUGCAUAUAAAAUUCUCAUUGGUGAUGUUGAAGAAAGAGAUGACUCUUCUGGCCUUUUCUAGUUUUCUUCCUCAUAUGUCCAUGUACUGAGAACUUGUAAAGCUUAUCAUUAUAAACCUAAGGCAGUGAUUUGAAGGUUUACAUUUUUCACGAUUUUAAAAUACCAAUGAAAUGUGACUUUUAAAUAU